rnacentral:sRNA from 1 species
UGGGCGCGUGGUGCAGUCCCUGGAGGGUUCUCACGCUUUGGCUGUCCUGACUUAAAGUUUUUCCGCUGGUUUCAGGAACGCGACCGGUAGCCUCGGGCAGGGGAGACAGGACUGUAGGUCAGAGAAGAGACGGCGCUUGGACGCCAGGAAUCCUCUGAAGCAGGAGACUGCCCUAUCCAGGUUACCCUUCCCGAGGGGAAGCCAGGGUCUCCAGAAAGCUGAGGCAGGCCGGGCGCGGUUGCUCAUGCCUGUAAUCCCAGCACUUUGGGAAACCGAGGCGGGUGGAUCACCUGAGAAGAUGACUCAAGACCGGCCUCUGCUUGCCGUGCAGGAGGCCCUGAAGAAGUGCUUCCCCGUGGUGGAGGAGCAGCAGGGCCUGUGGCAGAGUGCCCUGCGGGACUGCCAGCCCCUCCUGUCCUCCCUCAGCAACCUGGCGGAGCAGCUGCAGGCCGCACAGAACCUGCGGUUUGAGGAUGUGCCGGCGCUUCGGGCCUUCCCAGACUUAAAAGAGCGGCUGAGGCGCAAGCAGCUGGCAGCUGGUGACAUCGUCCUGGACAAGCUAGGGGAAAGGCUGUAAGCAGCUCCGUAGUGCUCUUUCUCGGUGGAAGGAUUUUAAAACGAGGUGUUUUAUAUGUAGCUAGUAUCA